rnacentral:rRNA from 1 species
GAUGAACGCUGGCGGCGUGCCUAAUACAUGCAAGUCGAGCGAACAGACGAGGAGCUUGCUCCUCUGACGUUAGCGGCGGACGGGUGAGUAACACGUGGAUAACCUACCUAUAAGACUGGGAUAACUUCGGGAAACCGGAGCUAAUACCGGAUAAUAUAUUGAACCGCAUGGUUCAAUAGUGAAAGACGGUUUUGCUGUCACUUAUAGAUGGAUCCGCGCCGCAUUAGCUAGUUGGUAAGGUAACGGCUUACCAAGGCAACGAUGCAUAGCCGACCUGAGAGGGUGAUCGGCCACGCUGGAACUGAGACACGGUCCAGACUCCUACGGGAGGCAGCAGUAGGGAAUCUUCCGCAAUGGGCGAAAGCCUGACGGAGCAACGCCGCGUGAGUGAUGAAGGUCUUCGGAUCGUAAAACUCUGUUAUUAGGGAAGAACAAAUGUGUAAGUAACUAUGCACGUCUUGACGGUACCUAAUCAGAAAGCCACGGCUAACUACGUG